UAUACAUAAGAUGUCUGGUUUCUGGGUUUUCACUUUGAUUUUCUGCACUAUGCAUACAGUACAACCUCGUAGGAAUUUUUCAUAUUCCUCCACAAUGCCAGAGGUUUAUCAGCCUGAUAAAGUACUCUGUGUGGAUAUCGGUGACUCAGCUACUCUGCAGUGCUGUAUUUUUGGAACAGAUGCUGGGUUAGUUAUCUGGUAUAAGCAACCAAACAGAAAACAGCUUCGGAUUAUGAGCAGAGUGUAUAAAACGGAUGAAGACACAUUUUUCAAUGAAUUCCGAAAUCUUCGUUUUCAAGUGGAAAGAUCUUCAAAUUGCUUCAAUAUGACCAUUUCUAACAUUAUCCAGUCAGAUGAAGCUAUGUACUACUGUGCAAUCACAUCACCACACGGCAUGUUUGGAAAUGGGACUUAUUUAAAAAUUAAAGGUAGAAUUUCCACUAAAAAUUAUUAAGCUACUGGUUUAAUGUAGAGAUAUUUUCCUUUAUUACCAUUAGCAUGUUCAUCCUAGAAGACAAAUAAUAGUGAAGUAGUGAAAUGCUAACUGUGUUUUCUUCAACAACACUGAGUUACAGACUGUGAGGGAAUCAUGAUAAAUGUUUAUAGGUGAGAAUGUUACUAUUGCAUCAGAAACAUCUAAACCAGCUCUGUGUGAUAAUUCAGAGGUGUGUGAUCCAACACUGCAUGGAAACAGCACUAACAUGAACACCCAAGAGAAAACAGGUAAGUAUAAUUUAGUGUUAACUAAUUAUCAUUAAUUCAUAAAGCAUAAUUUGCCUAGAAAAUAAUUUGUAUUAAUAUAAAAAUAAUUUGGUGAAAUAACAGUAUCAGAAAUGACUAGAUCUCUACAUUCGACAGUGCUCGGUUUGGGAACGGCUUUGGGUUUGUGUGCACUUCUGAUUUUCUGUCUCACUUAUUUCAUACUGAGGAAAAUAAAAUGUGUUAAAAGUAAAUGCUUUUGUCAUCAGAUAAUAAUUACUUACAGUUAUUAAAAAAAAGAAAAAAAAAACUAAUAAGUGUAUUUCUAUAUUAAUAGUGAAUGCUUCUAUAGAAGAUUCUCCAGGAAUGAGGCAGGAAUCUGAAGCUGAAACGCUGAAUUAUGCAGCUUUGCAGUUCUCCAAAAGGAAAGCCAUAGCUGAAAAAAGCAAAACUGGCUCAUCAGACAAAUGUGUGUACUCCAGUGUGAAACAAAACUGUAAUAUGUAACAUUAAUUAUGAUAUUAUAAGCUAAGCUGCUGUGCCACAACUUUUACUU